AGCCUUUAUGUGUUGCCCGUUCAUUUCCUUUUCAAAGUGAACGUGGUGUCAGAGAAGGCAUACAUUAACUCAAAUGGAAUUCAGAGUGCUUCCAUUAAAUAAGCAUUGCAAUAAGAACAUAACAGUC
ensembl:snoRNA